UGCUCGGAGUGCUGCGAAGUGCUGGCUGCUACGGUUGCCUGGCAACUGUGACAGGGCGGUGCUUUGAGAAACGUCUGACAUGCCCCGUCUCCGCCUGCUCUGGGGCAGCCUCAGCCUGCGUCAUCACGGGGAUGAGGAAAGGAACGUCCUCGCCCUGGCCGCGCCCCGCUUUCACUGCCGCGCCCUUGGGAACGCCCCCCUCCUCCCCGGGAUCAUCCGCGCUGUCCGGGUCCCAUUCGGGAUCCGCCUCGCCUGGACCCGCGCAGCCCCCAUCUCAACUGGGGACUGUCCCCCCCUGGCUCCGCGCCAACACCCGCACCCGGCGGGAGCAUCUCCCACACUACCGGUGCCCCUGCCGUGCUCGCGAAAGGUGAAAAAGCCUUUCUCGCUCCGGCUUCCGAGUUUUGCGACAUCAACGCGCGUCCGUUGUGUCCCGCCGCCGCCGCGGCUCCGCGCUCCGCUCGGCCCGGCUCCGCUCGGCCCUGCCCCCGCAGCCGCCGAGCACUCCCCAGACGGCUGGGCGCUGCCCGCCACUGCCGCCGCCAUCGCGCGCACCCUCGCUGCCGCGCGCGUCAUCGCCGCCACCUCGGCCGCUCCCACGGCCCCUCCCGGCGCCACCGCUUUUGGUGCUGCCCUGAGCCACCGCUUGCAGCUCGCUCCGGCCGCCCUGGCAGCCCCUCCCGCCGCCGCCGCGGCCGUCCCAGGCUGCUGCCGGCUGUCCGGUGCUGCCGUCAUCAUCGCGGCACCCCCAGGCGCCCCCGCGGCCGCUGCGCGCCACCCGGGCUGCUGCUGCCUGCCUGUCACUGCCUCGGCAUGGUCGAAAUGCAGCUUCCCCUCGGGCCCCGCGACUUCCUCAAUCCCCCGCCCCGAUGGUCCCGCCGUCGCCUCCCUGGCUUCUGCCGUUCUCAUGUCCCCCGCCGCUGCCUUCGCUGCCGCCCCUGGCUGCUAUAUGCUGCCCAGCGCCGCUGCGAGAGGCUGCCUCCAGUCACCUUCUGGCCCUGUGAUUUCGGCAUCCUCCCCCGUCAGUCCCUCCGCCGCCGCCCCUGCCGUGAGUGUACUCAGUCUGGGACUACAAGCCUGUUCAUGGGCGAGAUCCCACUUUUCCUCCUCACCGAAGGAACUGGCUAGUUUCGACUUUCCUGCGACUGUUUGAGGGAUGUCUGCAUCAGAGGACCCUGGAAAUUCUGGGUGUUCUGGGGAUUCUGAGGACUGAAGGGACCCCUGGACCCUGGACGUGAUGGUAAAUAGUCCUGUUCAUUUUCAGUGGGAGGCAUUCCUGCUUCCCCUGGAUCACUGGUGGAGAGAAUUGCCUCCUGCUGAUCACAGGGCAAUUUCCCUCCCUCGGCUCCCGUAGGAGUCUGGGCCGCCUGCUGCUGGCAAGGCGGUACCCCUCCCCCCUGACUAGUGGGAGUCAUUGCUACUGCCUGCUGACGGCAGGUAUCCCCUGCAGCAUUCUGCGAAAUCGUUUCCAGCAUUGUUCCCGCUGGAGCCAAAAGUCUCAAGGCCUUUUUAUCUUUCCCUGUUGCUAAAUGAUAAGUGAAAUUAAUAGGGCAGGAGAUCUUUCUCCUUUUUAAUGCCUUUAUUAAGAAGAAUCAGCUCAGGUGGGGAGAAAUCAACGGGUCGCACCCAUGCUGCUGUUGCUCCCAGGCGUGGCACGGAGAAGGAGGAUGAUGCAGCUUUGUCCGCUGGUCUGCAGGCAGAACUGGGGAUUCCGUCCUCACGGGAGAUCAGCAGAUUCCAGCUUUUUGGUCUAACACCCCAGGUCGUCUCUUUAAUCAACAUCUUUUUAGGUUAGGGUGAGAAGCAAAAAGGAUCCAAGCAGGUACUGGACUACGCUCCCAUCCUUAGACGUCACUUAGGUAGCCACUCCAAGGCAUCAAUACCAUGUAGCACUGAGUGCUGCUUACUUCAGUAAGGCUAAUAACAAGGAGACAGGACAGAAAGGUUUGUCUAUAUUUACUUAGCUCACAUAAUUCUGCUGGGUCUUCUCAGGUCUCCAAGUCUAUAAUUCAGGUUCUGUUUUGCACAGCAGUUCCAUAAAAGCUUAGUUUCUUUGUGUGUGCUACGAGAUGGAAUAUAUCUGAAAGUAAAUAAGUAGCAAAUAUUGGGCCAGCCUUCAACCAAAGGCUUUUCAUAGCAAAUCAUGGAGCCAUCACUGCUGAAUUUCAGCUGCCAGAAUGAUGUACGUUGGCUGUAUCUUGAAAAUUAAAUUAAUGCAUCCUUAAUGCAUCCUUAGAAUAGGAAGGGAAUGAAAUUCAGGCAUUUAAAUACAUAGGUUAUUUUGCCUGAUAACAGGCACCAGUCUGCCACAGACAGUUAUUCACUUGAAAACAGAUCCAGAAUACAGGAUCUGAAAAGCUCUGUACAGAGAGGCAGCAUUUUAGCAGGCUGCUUUGAUUCCAUGCCAAGUGUUCAGAGGUGGCUUCAACAGUAGGCAACAAAGUGUCAUAGAGGUAUAACUGAAAACAACUGAAAAUUGCAUUAGUUUCUGUCAUUCUCUCAAUAGCAAAUGCACAUAGAUUGAAUUUCAUCAUGCAUUUGAAGGUACAUUUUAAGCACAUAUUAGUUAUGUUUUCCCUGUCCCUCAAAUGGCCCAGGAUGUAAAAAUCAACAAAAAAUAACCCCCACUCCCCUUUGUGGCACACACAACCCACACCUGAAAGGCAUCAGGAAAAAAACCCUUGACUAUUUUUGCCUAGGUUGCCUAUAGGGAUAUAAAUCUGUGUGAGGAAUAUUUACAUCCAUCUCCAUAAAAUGGCAUCAUUCUUUGCAAUUAACAAGAGUUACUUAAUUGCUUCUUAAACAAAUGAAGUCCUUUGUGUUUCAAAUUAACUGAAAGGCAUAAAUGAAUGUUACUAAUUUAUGCCUUUCAGUUUAUCUCAUAGCAUUGUUGAAACCAGCUAGUUCACAAGAACUGCAUAUAAAUGAAGCAGGAGCUAACUUGAAGGGCAGCAUAGGUAAAUUUUUUGUACCUAGUGCAUUGUUCUUGCAUCAUUCUUACUUAUUUUUUAAUGAGGAAAGCAUUUUUUAAUGAGGAAAUUUGUUAUACCUUGGUAUAAUAUAAAAGCCUCCAGAUCCUCAAAGGACAGACUUACUGGUUUAACAGAGAAAAGGAGAAAAUGAGACACAGAGAAAGGAAAAGUGACAGAUUUGUGGGAGGUAUGAUCUACAAUCCAAGUCUAUUUUCGCAUUAUUUGUCAUUCAGUAACUUUUGCAAUUUAUUGAUGCUAUAUCAUUUCAGUGGAGAUGGCACUUGUCAUGUGGGUAUUUAAACAUGUCUCUUGUUUCACCUGCAUUUGCAAAAUCUCAGUAAUAUGCUAUAUACAUAGAGAAAACAUACAUGUCCAUAAAAGCUGUUUCUGUUACAAAGAUUAAUUACAGUAUUUGCUUCAUCAUGCAAGCUCUUUCCCUUAUUUAGCUACCCAAACCUUUCUAACAAACAGGCUCCCAAAUGAAAUUUCAGUCUCUUUUUACAGGUAGCAAAAAUAUACUGGAUUUAAGAACACUUAAUAAUUUUAGCUAAAAAUGCAGUGAUUCAACUCUAGUUCAGUAAGUAUUAAGAGACUGAAAUGCCAGAAAGAAAUGAGGAGUAAUUCACAUGAUGUUGGAAAAUGAUAUUAAAAUCAAGAAAUAAGGGAGAACUGAAAAAUUCUCUUCUGCCUGAUAUUUUCUAGAAAGUAGUAUAUUAAAUCAACUCACUUUUCCACCUUUUUGUUGUUUGUUUGUUGUUUGUUUUUUGUGUUCUUCUCUUUUUAAGGCACUAAGCUGUUUACAGAAGAAGAACAAGCAGUGAUUAUGGAAGAUGAAGAAAAAGAUGGAGACAUAAUCCACAGUUAGAUUACAGUGAUAUCCCUUGAAUGGGCUAUGAUAAGAGCUUCCCAAAGUCUCAUGGACUGAGAAAUCCUCCGUGGUCAUGGUGAGUUCCCAGCAUGCUUUGGAACCCCAUGUAGAUUUGUUGGGACUGAUUGGUUUUUCCCCCUUUGUACCACCCCUGCUUUUCCCAUAAAACCCCAGUUUCUGCCUUGUUCAGGAGGGAGCUGCCAUCACUAGCAUCCUUCGCAAGGUGCUGGAAUAAAGGCUAUCUCUGUGGAACAACCACACAGUGCUCCUGUCUCUUUGUCCCUGUGUUGGCCAGGGUACACCUCGCAAGGCAGAGCUGAAAUCACUAAGAGCUGAAAUCACUGCUAAGAGCUGAGGUGAGCUGCCUACCCCUUGCUGAGGUUACCUGGCAGCUGAAGGAUUGCCUAAGACUUCUAGAAAGGUCUCUCUUGUGGGACCUCUCUCUGGGAAGGUUGCGGCGUCAAGGUCAAGCCAUCAGACCCCCAACUGCCUCUGCAGUAAAGUAUGUCACAACAAGUACACAACAAGAAUAUGACUCAGGUCUACCUUUGCCAGUGAAGUUGGUGAAUAUUUUCAGUGCAUGUGUAGUGAGUUGACCUUGGCUAGAUGCCAGAUACCCACCAGUCUGCUCUAUCACUCCCCUUUACGCCAGGACAGUGGAGAGAAAAUAAGAUGGAAAACAACUAGUAGGUUGAGAUAAGGCAGUUUAAAAAGCAAGAACAAAAACAAAAAGAAAAGCAAAAGUUUACACAUGCAUAAGAAAAAGGGAAAACAAUUAAUACCUACUUCCCAUCAGCAAGCAAUAUUCAGCCUUUUCCCAGGAAGCAGGGUUUCAGCACACACUUCUGGAAUGGUUGUUCCAGAAGGCAAAAGUGGUAACAUAACAAAUGUCCCCCAUUCCUUCUCUCUCCCAUAGCUUUUAUAUCUGACCUGAUAUCAUGUGGUAUAGAAUACCCCUUUGGUUUAUUUGGGUCAGCCACUUUUGGCAUAGUUUUGUCCCCUACCAGGAUCUUGCUCACUCCCAGUCCCUUGAUAGGAGCCAUGCGAGACAAUGUUAGAGACAGUGCCGAUGCUGUGCCAGUGCUGCUCAGCAGUAGCAAAACCACUGGUGUGUUACCAGUACGUAUCCAGCUACCAAUGCAAAGCACAGCACUGUUGGGGCUGCUAAGGGAAAAUGAACUCUAUUUUUGUCAGCCCCAAUACAAUUUCCGCCCCUUAUUCCAUACUAUUUGCAUCCUCCUCAGAUCUCACAUAAUUUAUAUAUCUUCCAACUCCUCCAUUGUAUUUCUCAUUACUGGAAUCCGUUUUUACCCACGCUUACAACUUAACUACAUCCUUACACCAUCUCUAUACCCAAUAUACACUUUCAUUAACUACUACCCCUGUCCUUUAACAGAUUGAUAUUACUUUCCCUUUUCAUGGGCUUCCUCCAUCUCUCCAGAUCCAUCACUUGGGCUCCAUUCAAUCAGGAUGGGUAGUCAAGACAGGAGAAGAAGCAUACUUGAUCACUGGGCAUGAAGACUGGCCUGGCUCGAGUCAUCAUUGCAUCCUCCUUGCCCAUCACAAAAUUAAUUCUUCAUCAGUUCAAGUCAUUCCUGCUACUUUACUUCCUGCAACACAUAAUUUAUGCCACAGAUUGUUUUUCCCACAAGGUUAAAUUUCCUUGAGUCACACAGCAGGUCUCCCAACUCUUCCACACUACCUACCAAAUACACCCUGGUCCUUGGGCAAAAACAAUCCCACAAAUGGGUUUGCCUUUCCUCAUGGAAGGAGAAAUCCACACCAGCUUUCCCGGCCAUGAAGCCCCAGUCAUGAAGAAAGAAACAGAGUUAGCUAUCUGGCCUCCAUCUGGGGCUUCCCUUCUCUCUGACCGAGGCAGGACAGAACCAAUCUCUUGGGCUGCCCCUAAAACCUGGGCUGCUGGUUCAUAGGUAUGUGAAAGUAUGCAGAGUUUCUGCUGCAUUUCAGACCAAGAAGAUUCAAUUUCUACAGCUGAUGUAUGCAUUUGCAGGUAAUACUAUGAUAUGAAGCUGCUGAAAUAUGAUGCAGGGGCUCUUUGAACCACCUUCCUCCACAUGGCCAUUGUGCAAGGGACAGCCUCUGGAUCUUUAAGGACUUUAUCCUUUUUCAGAUUUCUAUAGAUGACUUCCAGCACUGCUAAUUCUCUCAGAUACUGGAUAACUUCAGCUGUGGUGGUCCACUUUCCUGAGGAGUUUAUUCCCAAGAACUGGAUGUCCUGUGCAGUUCCCUUAACUUUGUUUUAUGGCAAGAACAGCUUUCAGAAGGAUUUGGAUUUUUUAUUCUUUCCUUCUUCAAAAACUUCUUCUGCUGUAUUGCCCCACACAAUGAUAUCAUCAAGACAUUGCAGGUGUUCUGGAGCUCUACCCUGUUCGAUAUCAAAUAGUGGAGCUUCCAUAAAUGAUCUUAAAAGAUCUUCCUUAAAUUAAUAUCUUGCCCUCACACUUGAGAGGAGCUGUCUACAGAGGCUGCAAAUUGCUCAUUCUUUUCCAAUUCCUCUUUCAACUUCCCAAUCUCUAGCAAGGGAUCCCAGCUGUUGGACUUCAUGACCUUCUAACUGCUGAGUGUUGGCUCCAUUAUCCCAGCAUCGAAGAAAUCCAUUCAUCUGGCUGGUGACUGUAGUCUUUUCUCAAGUCUCAAAGUUCUGAUGAAGUCAGAGUAACUUGGGUUUCCUGUUUGAUUUGCCUCACUCCUUUCAAUUUCUGUGUUGAAGGACCUGCUAUUGAAGGAUCUGCUUCUUCCAUCUAACCCCUCCUCUCCUAUUUCUUCUUCUUCUUCUUCUUUCUCCCUUACUAAUCAAUGGUAUGAGCCUGUUACCUUGUCAAUUUUUUUUUCCAUUACUAGAGUAAUAACUUCAGUUACUGUAGUUUGAGUCUGUCUCAGUUAUAAGUGUCCUCAAAUGCAGUUUGGGUUCCUGCCAUAACUACAGCUGCAUCGGACUCUGAGAGUCACAAGAUUUUGUUAUUCAUGCUAUUCUUUUUCUUUCAAACCUUCUGAUCAAUCUGUUAUCUCUGUUCUUUUAGUAUCGUUUUAAUGUAGUAUUUUAAUAUAAUAUAUAAGAUAAUAAACCAGCCUUCUGAAAAUGGAGUCAAGCCUCUCAUCUCCACACAUAAGGAGUUCACAACAGUUCAGCACAGCAUGGAUUUAGCUGAAGGAAAUUGAGAGCAAAGGAACCUGAUCAGAAUUCCAUUAAAUUUUAGAAGCCACAGGCAUUCCCCAUGACUCAACAAGCUGAGUGGUGCAGCUGACACUCCUGGAGGACAGGAUGCCACCCAGAGGGACCUGGAGAAGCUUGAGAAGUGGCCUCAUGUGAACUUUAUGACGUUCAGCAAGACCAAUUGCAAGGUGCUGCACCUGGGUCAAGCACCCCAUGGUAUCAAUACAAGCUGGGCAAUGAACAUCUCAUGUACAGCCCUGCUGAGAAGGAAUAGGGGGUGCUGGUGGAUGAGAGGCUGGAUAUGCAGCCCAGAAAGCCAACCAUGUCCCAGGGCUGCAUCAAAAUCUGGAUAGACAGCAGGUCAACAAGAGAUGAUUCUACCCUUUUGUUCUGCUCUGGUAAGAUCCCACCUGCAGUGCUGAGUCCAGCUCUGGGGUCCCCAGCACAGGAAGAACACGGACCCAUUAGAGCAGGUCCAGAGGAUGGUUAGGACCUGCUCUAAUGGGUCUAUGUUCAGAGGGCUAGAGAACCUCUCCUAUGAAGACAGGCUGAGAGAGCUGUGGUUGCUUGUCCUGGAGAAGAGAAAGCUCCAAGACGACAUUUUAGUACCUUCCAGUAUCUAAAAUAGACCUACAGGAAAGCUGGAGAGGGACUUUCUACAAAGGCAUGUAGUGAUAGGACAAGGGUGUAUGGAUUUAAACAGAGAGAGUAGGUUCAGGUUGGAUAUUAGGAAGAAAUUCUUUCCUUUGAAUGCUGGAGACACUGGAACAGUUUGUCCAGAGGGGCUGCAGAUGCUCCAUCCCUGAAAGUGUUGAAGGCCAGCUUGGAUGGGGCCCUGCCCCAUGUGGAAGAUGUCCCUGGUCAUGUAAGAGGUGUUGGAAUAAGAUGAUAUUUAAGGUCCCUUUAAACCCAAACCAUUCUCAGAGUCUGUGAUAACACCUCACACAGGUCAAUUCAUUAUCCUGUGCCUUGACUACAUACCACUAUAUUCAAGAUAACAACUUAUCUCUGCCUCAUGGCAAAGAAGAGAGUGUGGACCAGGAGAGCAAAGACAAAAAUCUCCCCCUUUGUAAGAAGCUAGUGACAGGAGAACAAUAACACAAAUUAUUGUUAAUAAUGAAAGAAAUAAAAAGAGGCUUCUCUUUCAACCUCUACAAGUGACCUAGUGCUGUCCAUGGGCAGAACUCUGUUAGGUAAAGUGUCCUGUAUUGUUGCAAACAGGCCCCCUGCUGGGUAAUAAUUAGCAUAGACUCCAUGUAUUACAGAAGGCUGAUCAAUAAUCUAUAUAUUUACAACGAAACCCAUUGCUUUUAUAGACAGUUAUGAUACACGUUGUACUUGAUUGGUCCUCCAAUCCAAACACCAUCACCAUUGGCUGAUUAAGAAACCACCCUUUGGUAAACAAAUCUCCAUAACACAUUCCACAUGUUCACAAUACCAGGUGCAGCAAGUUAAGAUAAAGAUUGUUUCUCAUUCUCUGAUCUUCUCACAGCUUUCCCCAGGACAAUGCCUGGGAGAGUUGUGUUUCUCUCUGUGGCCAGAGAACUGCUGCCGCAGUCCUGUGGGGAAGAAAUGACACAGACAGAAAAUGUGUUUGGAAAGACAAUCUAAUUUUGCACAUAUACAUAUAUAUAUAUAUAUAUAGAGAGAGAGAGAGAGAGAUACGUGGAUACAAUAUAUGCAGUAUACAGCCUAUUUAAGUAAAACCUUUCAGGGUAUUCUAUGAGCAAAAUACAGUUCUUAGAAAAUUCCCAGAGAGAAAUCAUAUUUCAUAAGCAGGAGGCUUUAAAGUGCAUUCCUUUUAGCACUGUGUUUAGGCAGUGACCCAGCCCUGCUGGUGGUGGUUAAGAUCAACAUCACAAACAUGAAGCACAGAGUAUAAAGGAUGAAAACAACUGAAACAUGGUAACAUCAGAGUACUUGGCCAGCGAAUAAGUCUAGCAAAAUAUUAUAAAAAGGUGUGAGACCUUGAGGCGAGUGCACCUGAAAUUGAACUGGUCCUCUCUUAAGUGACUGAAGGGCAUCAGUAGCACUGGGAAAAUACCUUGGCUUUUUUCACAUGACAACCAGCCUUGAUUUUAACAUGACUGUCACAGACUAGUGGUAUCUAGUGCUGACAGCUGGUGUAGUUUUAAUGUUGAACAUGAUUACAAACUUGCUGUUUAUAACAAUGCUAAUUAACAGUGAGCAAAUUUUUAGAAAUAGAAAUAAUAGAAUUGGUAGGUGGCAGGGAUGCUUCUAACAAGAACUCUUAAAACAAAGAGUGUUCAGACAGGUUUCUGUACAAGAAAUUUUGCUUCACAAACUUUGACACUCCUUGGAGGAGCCAACAAUGGUUUUCUCCAUAUUUCUAAGGUCCUGAUCCAAACAAUGGCAAAGCUACUGAGGUGUCAUGGUUUAAAAGAGAAUUGCAACAUAUUAAGAUGGGUAAACAACUAGUUAACAAUGGAGAGAAAAAUAAAAAUCCAUCAAUAAAUUUAAAAGUGUGAUGAAAUGGUCAGGAUUCACAGUAAAGAAGGAUUGUUGCUUCUGCUAUUCAAUGUGCUUCUCCAGAAGGUGUGGAAAAGUUGUGGGUGGAAGAAGAAAGCAAGUGAGGAACAGAAAUGAAGAAAAAGUUAAGUAGAAAAGAAAAAUAAGCAGAAGCUUAUUUAAGUGUAGUUGGCAAAUCUACCAAUUCAGUGUUGGUUAGUGCAGAAAGAUGCAUGUAGAGAGAGGCAACACUAACUCCACAAGUCCAUGUGUGCACUUGGGCUAAACAUUAAUUAGGAUUUUUUUAUAGAGAAUUCUACAGAAACUACUGUUCAGUCCUGAAGUAGAUUCAAAAAUGAAAGUACAACUUUAAAAUCUAUUCAGAAAAGCAUAGAAGGUGAAACAGAAAGUGUAAUUACAUUUUUUUCAACAUUUCUGGUAUACCUGCAACUUGAGCAGUAUGCAGUGCUUGUUCUCUCCUUUCAAAAUGAGAUUAAAACCAAUAAGCAUACAGAGAAGAACAGCAAGGAAAAUGAAAAGUAGACUAGGUUUGCCUGUGAGGAAAGCAAAAAGAGGACUGCAAAGGGACAGUUGAGGUCAUAUGUAAAUCACCAGGGGCUUGGGGAAAGAGGCUUGGGAAACAAUUGUUUCCCUCUUGGGAAAAAAAUUGCCACUGUUUCUCAAAGUGCAAAAUCUGGGGUGAGAGGAACUUUUUCACAAGGAACAUGUUCAACUGUGAAUCUCAGGCCCAUGGGACACUGUGUACUGAAAGAAUGCAUGGGAUCAAAUCCAACUAAAUUAGUGCCAUGAAAGACAAUUGGUGUUAUUUAGCAUUCAACAGAAUUUUAGCAAAGAACAAUUUUAAUGUUGUGCUAUAUAUUCUUUUUCUAGUGAGUGAAGAGAGAGGACCCACUGUAAUCCAGCCUCCUACCUGCAUCCUUCUGAAUACCUAUCACACUGUGACAGGAGGACAUUUAUUCUCAGUACUGUUAGGAAAGAAAAAAUUUUCCGAUGCUGUCUGAAAUAGUAGUUUUAACUGUGGGAGGCAGAAGGUCAUAUUGAGAACACCAUGAGGAAAUCAACAAUCUAGGAAAGCAUUGACUUAAUUUGACAGGAGCCUUUCUCAAGAAAGGAGGUUUUCUGCUGUAAAUAUCAGAAAGAUCCGCAGGACAGAGGAGCAGGAGUGCCAGGCCCGUGUUUCAUUAGAGUGAUUAAAGAAAUGGUCUAAACUUACAGAGAGUGUUAAGAAAAUCUGUGGUUAUACAAAAUUCACUUUUAUCCAAUGAGACACUGAUAGUAAAAGAUUUUAAAACCAUAGCAAACUCAGGGAGUUGGAAAGAAAGCUAGGCUUAGUAGGCCCUGGGAAAAUGUUAAAACUAAGCCCUGGGAAACAUUAGACCUUGUGUUUGCCAGAUCAUGUGGAAUUGCACCUGCGUAACCAGUAUAUGAUAAAUGAUAUAAUUGUUAGAUGUGAUGAUUGUUUAGAUAUAAUUAUUGUUUAAUCGUAAGAAUCAUGAGAAACCAUGUUCAAAGGGUUUGGGGGGAUCACGAGAAACCUAUGCUUGGAUGAAAUCAAUGUAUACGAUAGAUCAAUGUAAGUUUAAUAAUUAAUAUGUGAGUUAUAUAAUGAUAGAAUAUAAAAACAUGUUCAUCCCGAACCCAUGACAGAGUCAGAUUUCGGUCUGUACCCGUGACACCCAGAGGUCUUCAAUAAAAGCACCUGCAUAUAAUCAUUCUGUGAUUAUGUAUUCCUGAAUGCUAACAACACCUCAAUGAAAGUUCAAAGAUAGCUAGUUCUUGAUCAGUCACUAUGACACUAGAGAGGUCUUCUUCUGUCAUCCCCUAUGGAACCAGGAGCAGAAGCUGUAAGAAUUGGGAUGCAGAGAUGUUACCAGUGGUCCAAGUGCUUUGCAUCACCCACUGCUGCCAGGCAUGGAAAGAAUUCUUCCCCCCACAAAGGCCUGUGGCCCCUGAGAUAGCUCCAGUCUGAGGGAGAAUAGGGUUUGGACAUCUCCUGAGAGGUUUGGCCAGCCUGUGGGAAGAGGUGGAAGUGGAUUUUUCUCAUGCUCAGGGAAUAGUAAACCUCUAAUGCUGAGGUCAGGGAGCAAUUUCCCCCCAGGCAGAUUUGCACUCAUCCCUGGGGGCCUUUUCCCUUCCUCUGCAGUAUCAAACCUGAGCACUGGUCAGGCUCCUCCAGGUUGCUGCCUGCUGCUCACCCACCAUGAAGAUAGACUGUUGUGCCCCACAUUCAUUCUUUUGUUAUCUUCUUCCUUUGUGUGAUUGUUAUUGAAACUAAUUAUUCAUGUUCUCUUCAGGAAACAGGGUUUUCUUGGCCUGUAUUCCUUCUGCUGCUUUCUGUAGCUCUGUUAGACUGACAGACUGCAAAGGAUGUUUUUUAAAAACUAAAUCGAGAUGCAUCACCCAGCUUCGGACUACAUAUGGGCAUUGUGUUAACACUUGUGAACAGGCGCGGUGAAAUGGUUUCAGAAAAAUAAUGGUAAAUAAACCCAAAAAUA